rnacentral:rRNA from 1 species
UACAGAGGGGGCAAGCGUUGUUCGGAAUUACUGGGCGUAAAGGGCGCGUAGGCGGCCUUCUAAGUCGAACGUGAAAUCCCCGGGCUCAACCCGGGAACUGCGUCCGAUACUGGAAGGCUUGAAUCCGGGAGAGGGAUGCGGAAUUCCAGGUGUAGCGGUGAAAUGCGUAGAUAUGCACAGGAACUCCGGUGGCGAAGGCGGCGAGCUGGACCCUUUCUGACGCUGAGGCGCGAAAGCCCAGGGGAGCGGAACGGG